rnacentral:tRNA from 1 species
GGAAAAGUUGCCAUUGGUAAGGUAAGAUAUUUGCUAAAUAUUGUGUUUUACUACACCUGGGUGUUCGAUUCACCUCUUUUCCG